GUCACUGACAUUUACUGGGAACUUAUGGAACUCCGUAAACAAAUGGCCUGCGCUACAUGUGGUCUAUCACCGCUACAAUAAUCCGCAAAAUAAGCUGAUGAAUUUGAUAGUAUGAAAGAGGACUAGUCCAAAUUUGUUCAAAUAGAAAUCUGUUGACUACUACUUUCGCGCGAAUCCAUUUUCAACUUUUCAAAGCCACUCGCUUUGUUGACGAAUUGCAAAAAUGAUCUUAAACAUAUUUAAACAAUUAAAUUAAUUCAACACUUGAUAAUUAUAGCAUAAUUAUUCAUCCAUGAUAUUUUAUGAACGUAUGAUUUUCGUAUACAUAUAUAUAUCUAAACUUUCAUAAAUGAACUGAUAAUUUGUAAAUAUACAUAUAAUAUAUCUAUAUAAUAGAAAACGAAUUAUAUAUGUGACGAAUAGAUCUGACGACGCCAUUACAAUUUUACAUAGCAGCCUAUUAAUGUAGUCGUACUAAUGUAGCUUUGUAUCAACA